AACGAACGCUGGCGGCAUGCCUAACACAUGCAAGUCGAACGAGACCUUCGGGUCUAGUGGCGCACGGGUGCGUAACGCGUGGGAACCUGCCUUUAGGUUCGGAAUAACUCAGAGAAAUUUGAGCUAAUACCGGAUGAUGUCUUCGGUCCAAAGAUUUAUCGCCUUUAGAUGGGCCCGCGUUGGAUUAGCUAGUUGGUGGGGUAAAGGCCUACCAAGGCGACGAUCCAUAGCUGGUCUGAGAGGAUGAUCAGCCACACUGGGACUGAGACACGGCCCAGACUCCUACGGGAGGCAGCAGUGGGGAAUAUUGGACAAUGGGCGAAAGCCUGAUACAGCAAUGACGCGUGAGUGAUGAAGGCCUUAGGGUUGUAAAGCUCUUUUACCCGAGAUGAUAAUGACAGUAACGGGAGAAUAAGCUCCGGCUAACUCCGUG
rnacentral:rRNA from 1 species